rnacentral:rRNA from 1 species
UGGGGAAUAUUGGGCAAUGGAGGAAACUCUGACCCAGCCAUGCCGCGUGAGUGAUGAAGGCCUUAGGGUUGUAAAGCUCUUUUGUCAGGGACGAUGAUGACGGUACCUGAAGAAUAAGCCCCGGCUAACUUCGUGCCAGCAGCCGCGGUAAUACGAAGGGGGCUAGCGUUGUUCGGAAUUACUGGGCGUAAAGCGUGCGCAGGCGGCAUUCCAAGUCAGAGGUGAAAUCCCAGGGCUUAACCCUGGAACUGCCUUUGAAACUAGAGUGCUGGAGUCUUGGAGGGGUUAGGGGAAUUCCUAAUGUAGCAGUGAAAUGCGUAGAUAUUAGGAGGAACACCAGUGGCGAAGGCGCCUAACUGGCCAAGUACUGACGCUCAUGCACGAAAGCGUGGGGAUCAAA